GUGUUCGCUUCGGCAGCACAUAAACUAAAAUUGGAACGAUAGAGAAGAUUAGCAUAGCCCCUGUACAAGGAUGACAUGCAAAUUCGUGAAGCAUUCCAUACUUUU